rnacentral:lncRNA from 10 species
GCCAGCAACUCUCCCUCUCUUUUUUCACCUGAACAGCUCCUGGUCAUUCUGCAGACACAACUUUGAGAUCACUGAUUCCCAGCAGCCUCCCCUGACCCCCAGGAAGAAGUGUCCCUUCUCCAUGGCCCCGUAUCACUUUAUCUCUUCCCUGCCUGUUUCUCUCCUCCACAGUCCCCACCCUUCCACCCCCAGAUUCUGCUAAGCUCCUCCGGACAGGUGCUGUGACAUUUUUAAGAUUCUGUGGGAUGCAAAUUGGAGAAACCAAACAAGCUGGCUUAAAGAUAAAAGGGGGAAGUUAUCAGAAAGGUCUGGUGGUGUCUUAUGGAACCUGGAGUCACAGGGUGCAGGGAAUCAGAAUUAGCAGCUAGAAGGAGUUAGGAAAGCCAGGCUGCAUUCUCUCCAAACCUUGUGUCUCUGUCUUUUCAGUGUUUUCCUUCUCUCUCUCUCUCUCUCUCUCUCCCUCCCCAGAGCUCAUGGUCCCAGUGGCAGGACGUCCGUUAUGCAGGUCCAGCAGUAUGGAGUUGCUCCUGCUCCUGCCCCUCCACAUCCCCAGGGAACAGAUGCUUCUGGCAGGUUGGUGUUGGAUGAACAUGAAGUCCUGGCCCAGCAAACCAUGAAGCUGAGCUGAGCCUGAGGCAACUUACUUCCAUCCUGGUCUCAAUUCCUGCCAUGUCCAGUGCUUCCUGGGACGACUCUGGAUGGUGGUGGCCUCCAAGAUGCCCCCCGAGGCCUCUGCCUUAUGUGGCCCUCACUGAAUCACAGCUGAUCCAGGUGACCAGUAGAGUAGAAGGUGAUGCUGGGUGACGUCUGAGAUUGGGUCACAGAAAGACUUCCAGCCUCACUGUGGUCUCUCAGAAGCUCUGACUUAGGAGCUCUUCGCUGCCCUAUGGGAAAUCGGUUUCCUCAUGUCCACCAUGCUGGAGACACCCCAGGAGGGUCUAUGUGAAGAGACAGAAAUGCCAGCCCCAGCCACUCCAGGCACCUAGAAGACGCCUCUGACAACAUGGAGCAGAGAUGAGUCAUCCUCACAGAGCCCUAUCCAAACUGCAGACGCAUAAACAAAAUAAAUGGCUACUGCUGUUUUAAGCCAAUAAGUUUUGGAGCUGUUUGUUACACAGCAGUGGAUAACGAGAAACCCUGCCAGAUAACAAGCUGUCCUUGAAUCCCGAUCUCAGAGUCUGUUUCUAGGUAACCUCACCCAAGCCCUCUGUGAGCAUCUAAUGAGUCGUGCGUGCAGUAGCUGUCCUGGAACGCAUGCUAUCGUCGGUGACUAUUCAUGUCUCAAUGCUAACCUACCCCAAGAGCUUUACAGAGAUGUCCAACCACACUUUAACAGGAGCACUGCACAGCACCUGGCCAGGGGCCAAAGGGAGUAGGGACUCUGGCAAGCUGGAGGACAUGGGGGCAGUGGAGAAAGUGGCUCUCACCAAGCCUUCACAAGAUGCUGCAUAUUUUUCUUGGGCCAGAGUCACUAACCAAAAUGUAGCUGGAGGCACAUAGAAUUCACAUGCAAUGAUGCUUCGCACAAGGCCACAGCAAAUUGAAAUCACUUGGCAGCUGCACCCUGGGGCUCUGUGAUGGUGCCUGUCACCAAGAUCGUGGACUGAGGUCCAGCUCAGUCUGUACCCCACAGCAGCACCUCAUCUGUGGAAAGGGCUGCAGAUGUGGGGAGAAGAGGGCCUACCCUUUUAGAAGAGGCCAAAAAGUCAGAAUUUCAAGCUAGAGUGGAAAGACACACUGCAGGGGAGCUGCCAGGAAGAAGAGUGAUUUGAUUUCUUAACGGGAGACUCCAAAGGAGUCAGCCCGCGGAGACAAAAUCAAAAGAGGCCCGGACUUGGGAGCACAGCCUGGGAACGCAGGCGGGGGCCUCUGGGACUCUUCCAGCUCAGACCAGGCCUGUGUCUGGGGCUUCUGGGGGCAGCCUGGGAACUGGAAUUUUCUUGUUCCAUAAUGGACUUCUCGGACCCUGCAGGUGGCCUGCCCGGGAUGGCACUCCCUGUGGUAUCAGUGGCUCCUGUCACGGAGGGCACAUGCUGGCUCCAUGCUCAGGCUGUCCUGUAAAUCAUCUCACCGAAUCCCCACUGUGUCCUUACAGAGCAAGCACGCAUGCCUGUGUCCUCCAGAGAAGCAAGCCAGGCCCGAGGAAUGGGCGGCCGAUGGCUCCAGGAAGGUCACUGACUUUGGAGGGAACUUGGGAUCUCCUCCCCACUCUCUCUGUCCUCAAGGCCCAUCUUUUUAAAAUCAACUUUUUGGGAUGUAAUUGACAUAUAAUAAAACCAUCUUAGGUGUACAGCUUGAUGAAUUUUGUCCCACGUAUACAGCUGGGUAACGACAGGAAUCUGGACAUGAGGUUUGCGUGGGCAGCCAAGCUGGGGCCUCAGGAUGCCCUUCGUUCUGAACUUGGCUGCCAUGCCAGGGCCUCGGGAUGCCCUUCCUUCUGAACUUGGCUGCCUGGCCAUCUCACAGUUCCACUUUGUCAACUCUUUGAAGUCUGGGAGAAGUGACUCACCUGAAUUUUUUUUCUUUUCUACAUUCCCACCAUUGUCCCAUCUCCUUCCCUGCUUUGGACAAAGAUUUCUCUUUUCCACGUGAUGGGAGGGGGAUUGUAAACAUCCCAAGCUUUGGAAUCAAAAGACCUAGGCUCACACCGCAGCCCUGCUAUGUGACUCCGGGCACGUGACUUAACUUCUCUGGGCUCCUUUCUUCAUCUGUGUAAAACAGAGAUCAUAAUGGACCCUCUAAGGUCAUUGGGAGACUAAAAGGAGGUAUUAUAUGCAAACAAUAAAUAUUAUUAUUUUGAAUUGCACUGGCUUUAAUGACACAAAUGUGAAGAAAAGGGUAGGAUUGUAGGGGAAGCCUGGGAAAAGGAGAGAUUAAAAGACAAAAACAAUUUCAACUUUUCUGAAAA